UUGACUUGGUGUUAAACUGUGAUGAUUAACUGUUCUCUUAUUUUUUUGAGCAGUGUAUAAACUAAUUUAAGGGAUUGAAGCUGCCUUACUUGCGGCCCAUAGCAUAGUGAUUCAGAUUGACAUUGACUUCAUCCAAGUGACGCAGGAAGGAAGAAACUGGAAAGGUCCUGACCACUGACGGGAACAAUACAAGGGGAAAUGAGGAAGUGAGGCGAGGUCAGUAUCCCACUCAUCACCACCGUCGCCCCCCUGACCCUGGGUUGGCCUCCCCUUGUCCUCCAUCUGAUCUCGGCUUGACUGCUGCUCCUCUUCCUCUUGCUGCUCCUCCUUGACCUCCUCACAGCCGAAACAGUGUGGAAACACGGGUGGACCAAGCAGAUAGUGAGGGGCAUGUGUCCCCUGCGCCUCCCUCCCAAUCUACACCUGUGAUUCUCUGUUUCCUGUUUGUCAAAUCUGCCUGAAUGAUGAAUGGAGACUGAGAGCAGUUUGUGGUUUUGCAGCUGAGCCAAACUUCUUGCUGUGUGGGCGUCAGAAGUCAAGGGGAAGACCUUCACGACUGAGCCUGGACAUCCCUGAGAAAACUACACCGCAGUGGUGGAAAAGUACACAAAACAAACCGGUUAUCAGCUCGCUCUGCAACUGAAACACACCCUCGCUUGGAUUGUGCACAGAAAGGGAGAAGCAGUACAGAUCUUAAGAUGUUGGAUGGUGUGCUAAGAGAAUUGUGACUUGAAGACUUUGGCUAGAUGUUUCAGCAGCCUAGGACUCCCGCUG